rnacentral:rRNA from 1 species
CUGGCUCAGACGAACGCUGGCGGCAUGGAUUAGGCAUGCAAGUCGAACGGUGCAGCAAUGCAUAGUGGCGCAAGGGUGAGGAACGCGUGGGUAACCUGCCCUCAAGUUGGGAACAGCUUCUGGAAACGGAAAUUAAUACCGAAUGUGACCAUAGGAAGGCAUCUUCUGUUGGUUAAAGGCCGCAAGGUCGCUUGAGGAGGGGCUCGCGUCCCAUUAUGCUAGUUGGUGAGGUAAAGGCUCACCAAGGCGAAGAUGGGUAGCUGGUCUGAGAGGACGAUCAGCCACACUGGGACUGAGAACUGCCCAGACUCCUACGGGAGGCUGCAGUCGAGAAUUUUGGGCAAUGGACGAAAGUCUGACCCAGCCAAUGCCGCGUGCGGGAUGAAGGUCUUCGGAUUGUAAACCGCUGUCAAGUGGGACGAAACAAAUGACGGUACCGCUGAAGGAAGUCACGGCUAACUACGUGCCAGCAGCCGC